CUACGGGCUGCAGCAGUGGGGAAUAUUGGACAAUGGGGGAAACCCUGAUCCAGCAAUGCCGCGUGUGUGAAGAAGGCCUGCGGGUUGUAAAGCACUUUCGGUUGGGAGGACUGCUUCUAGCACUAAUAUUGUUGGAAGUUGACGUUACCUUCAGAAGAAGCACCGGCUAACUCCGUGCCAGCAGCCGCGGUAAUACGGAGGGUGCAGGCGUUAAUCGGAAUUACUGGUCGUAAAGCGCGCGUAGGCGGCUAGAUCAGUCGGGUGUGAAAGCCCCGGGCUUAACCUGGGAACUGCAUCCGAUACUGUCUAGCUUGAGUACAGGAGAGGAGAGUGGAAUUCCACAUGUAGCGGUGAAAUGCGUAGAUAUGUGGAGGAACACCAAUGGCGAAGGCAGCUCUCUGGCCUGAUACUGACGCUGAGGUGCGAAAGCGUGGGGAGCAAACAGGAUUAGAUACCCGGGUAGUC
rnacentral:rRNA from 1 species